GUUAGGAAUAUUGGACAAUGGGGGCAACCCUGAUCCAGCCAUGCCGCGUGUGUGAAGAAGGCCUUAGGGUUGUAAAGCACUUUCGGCUGUGAAGAUAAUGACAGUAGCAGAAGAAGAAGCUCCGGCUAAAUUCGUGCCAGCAGCCGCGGUAAUACGAAUGGAGCGAGCGUUGUUCGGAAUCACUGGGCGUAAAGGGUGCGCAGGCGGUCUUGAAAGUUAGAAGUGAAAGCCCCGGGCUUAACCCGGGAAUUGCUUUUAAAACUCCAAGACUAGAGUACUGGAGAGGUUGGCGGAAUUCCAAGUGUAGCAGUGAAAUGCGUAGAUAUUUGGAGGAACACCGAUGGCGUAGGCAGCCAACUGGACAGUAACUGACGCUCAUGCACGAAAGCGUGGGGAUCAAACAGGAUUAGAUACCCUGGUAGUCC
rnacentral:rRNA from 1 species